UGCAAAUUGCAGCUGUGUGUAUCUGCAGAGGCGAGUGGAGCAGGGGAUGAGGGCGAGGGUGGGGGCGGAAGGAGGAGCCACAGAGGGAGGGUUGUCAUUGGUCGGCUCUGGUUUCCAGGACAACAGGCUCAACCAAUCAGAGUGAGAGCUGCGUUUUUCCCUCGGCUUUCAGUCCGCUGCUGUCUGCAGUUCGCGAUGGCUGAACGAGCUGGGGCACUGUUUAGACCAGCGGUACUCAGCUGACAGCCUGUGGGCCACGUCCAGCCCGCAGGUUCAUUCUUUGUGGCCCUUGGUCCACCAGGACAGGGAUGCACUGACAUCUGGCCAGAUGUCUUACCUGUCGUAUUCCGAUGCCAGGAAAAGGCAGAUUGCAAUGCUGAGAUGGUUCUGGACCACAUCACCUGGCCGGAUGAAGAAGAGCUGGAGGAUGACAGCGAAUCUCCUCUUGCUGUGAAAUGUUUGAUCACAAGCUACUUG